rnacentral:rRNA from 1 species
UAACACGUAAGCAACCUGCCUAUCAGAGGGGAACAACAGUUAGAAAUGACUGCUAAUACCGCAUAUACCUAAGCAUCGCAUGGUGCAAUAGGGAAAGGAGAAAUCCGCUGAUAGAUGGGCUUGCGUCUGAUUAGAUAGUUGGUGGGGUAACGGCCUACCAAGUCAACGAUCAGUAGCCGGACUGAGAGGUUGAACGGCCACAUUGGGACUGAGAUACGGCCCAGACUCCUACGGAAGGCAGCAG